UACGGAGGAUCCAAGCGUUAUCCGGAUUUAUUGGGCUUAAAGGGUGCGUAGGCGGCUUAUUAAGUCAGGGGUGAAAGACGGUGGCUCAACCAUCGCAGUGCCCUUGAUACUGAUGAGCUUGAAUACACUUGAGGUAGGCGGAAUGUGACAAGUAGCGGUGAAAUGCAUAGAUAUGUCACAGAACACCAAUUGCGAAGGCAGCUUACUAAGGUGCAAUUGACGCUGAGGCACGAAAGCGUGGGGAUCAAACAGG
rnacentral:rRNA from 1 species